rnacentral:rRNA from 1 species
AGGGUUCGAUUCUGGCUCAGAACGAACGCUGGCGGCGCGUCUUAAGCAUGCAAGUCGAGCGGUAAGAUUGGUGCUUGCACCGAUCCUAGAGCGGCGGACUGGUGAGUAACGCGUGGGUGACGUACCCUUUGACGGGGAUAGCUCCUAGAAAUAGGAGGUAAUACCGGAUAAGCUCGUAUGUGUCAGAGGCAUACGAGGAAAGGUUCUUUUGAACCGCGAAAGGAGCGGCCCGCGUACUAUUAGCUAGUUGGUGAGGUAACGGCCCACCAAGGCGACGAUAGUUAUCCGGCCUGAGAGGGUGAACGGACACAUUGGGACUGAGAUACGGCCCAGACUCCUACGGGAGGCAGCAGCUAAGAAUAUUCCGCAAUGGACGAAAGUCUGACGGAGCGACGCCGCGUGGAUGAUGAAGGCCGGAAGGUUGUAAAAUCCUUUUAGGUGCGAGGAAUAAGUGUGGUGAGAGAAACGCCAUAUGGUGACGGUAGCACCUGAAUAAGCAACGGCUAAUUACGUGCCAGCCGCUGC